GCCACACAGAAAGUUCCUGAAAAUGGACCUGAAGUGAAUGAAGCCUUCCAGUGAUCACCACUGGAGUGAAACAAGCCAUUUUUGGGGCUGGCACAAACACAAGGAUUCCAUCAGAUGCACAACAUCCAGCGGGGCAAUGUCUAUCAGGGUUUGGUAACCUGAAUGACUGAACUGCAUUGCCCACCAUCUUACUCUGUGGGUUUGUAACAUUCUGAUGUUUUUUCCAGGUUGAAGAAAUGAUUGCAGAUAUACGUGAUGUUUUUAUAAAAACCUUAGAUGAACUUCCCUGGAUGGAUGCAGAGACCAAAAAGAGAGCAGAACAAAAAGCAACAGCAAUUAGAGAGAGGAUUGGUUAUCCCGAUGAGAUUGUGACAGAUGACAACAAGCUCAACAGUGAGUACCAGGAGUUGAACUACAAAGAAGAAGAAUACUUUGAAAACAUUAUUCA